rnacentral:lncRNA from 1 species
GGGAUAUUGGAAUUAUUUUAUUCUCUGUUCAUAUCUGUGCAUUUCUGUUCAUAUAUUUUUAUACUUAUAUUCCUUUUUUAUAUUGCUCUGAACAAUUAUAUAUAUAUCAAUUGUACUUGCUCCUUAUCAUUAAAUAAGAAAUACAAUAUUUCAUCCUUUCUUUUCUCAUAACAUUCUCUUCGCAGGCUUUGCACCUUGUCUUUUUCAACCUUCUCGUCUUGAUUUUUCCAUCUUUACAGCCUUCCCUUAUGUUUCCUUUGUUUUACUUCGCAAUCCCUAAUUUGAUAUACACGCAUCUCUUUCUUUUUCGAUUUUGUUUCCUCCGCUCUAUCCUUUUCAAUCUUCUAUUUGUUUCUAUUCCAGUCACCAUUUUCAUUUCCAUAAAUCAUUACAUGUCUCUUUCUGUGCAUUAUUGUGAACCGAAACAACCAGUAGUUGAAGCAGCCCAUUUGUCUGGCUCUGCGAGUUUUCUAGAGUGGUGCCCCAUGAAUGGUAGUUC